UACGGGGGGGCAAGGCGUUGUUCGGAUUACAUGGCGUAAGGGCUCGAUAGGCGGCCAACGUAAGUUCGGACGAUGAAAUCCCCAGGCUCAACCUGGGAAACUCGGCCGUCCGAGUAACUGGGAUGGCUUGAAUCCGGGAGAAGGGAUGCAGAAUUCCGAGGUGUGGAGACGGUGAAUGCGUAGAUAUCUGGAGGAAUACCGGUGGCGAAGGCGGCGAUCCUGGGACCGGCAUUGGACGCGUGA
rnacentral:rRNA from 1 species